rnacentral:rRNA from 1 species
GAUGAACGCUGGCGGCGUGCCUAAUACAUGCAAGUCGAGCGAACAGACGAGGAGCUUGCUCCUCUGACGUUAGCGGCGGACGGGUGAGUAACACGUGGAUAACCUACCUAUAAGACUGGGAUAACUUCGGGAAACCGGAGCUAAUACCGGAUAAUAUAUUGAACCGCAUGGUUCAAUAGUGAAAGACGGCUUUGCUGUCACUUAUAGAUGGAUCCGCGCUGCAUUAGCUAGUUGGUAAGGUAACGGCUUACCAAGGCAACGAUGCGUAGCCGACCUGAGAGGGUGAUCGGCCACACUGGAACUGAGACACGGUCCAGACUCCUACGGGAGGCAGCAGUAGGGAAUCUUCCGCAAUGGGCGAAAGUCUGACGGAGCAACGCCGCGUGAGUGAUGAAGGUCUUCGGAUCGUAAAACUCUGUUAUUGGGGAAGAACAAAUGUGUAAGUAACUAUGCACGUCUUGACGGUACCUAAUCAGAAAGCCACGGCUAACUACGUG